CUGCACAAGAAGCACAUGUGGCAUUGUUUUAAAAAUGAAUUCUAACCACCUUACAUCCUCAUCCUUUGGGAGUCCAUGCAAAGUGGUUUUGCUUUUGCAGCACAGAAAACAUCUUAUAGACAUGAACCUAACUCUUUCAGAAUGGAACUACUGUACAACUGUAGUGUUUGAGGGUGGGUCAAAGUACACGUUGUUCCCAAGCAGACAAUGAAGACCAGAGAGAGCUGCCUGACAAAGAUAAAGGAAUAAGCGCUCCACUUACUAUUGACAGUGCUUGAAUCAAUAUCAACAGGGAAUACCAAAGAAUGUGAAGAACCAUUUUCUUCUCAUAUUGAAGCUUUCUCCUCAUCUCCACAUCAAAAAAAAACUUUCAUCCAGGUCUUCACAGGCUACAUUCACACUGCAUGCUCUCUCACCAUGUUCCUUUAUGUCAUUUCUAAAUGAAUGUCGUUUUGUCUGUGUGUGAGUAACUGUUUAUUGUAUUAACAUUUCAGGAAUAUUAUUGCUGAGCAGUAGAGUUCUGCAAAAUAAAAAUCUUUUCCACUUCAA